GCCGGGAUGGCAGAGUGGAUAACGCGCAGGCCUUGAGAGCCUGUGGUCCUUUGGACCGCGUGGGUUCGAAUCCCACUCCCGGCGCCA
rnacentral:tRNA from 1 species